rnacentral:rRNA from 1 species
GUGUCAGCAGCCGCGGUAAUACAGAGAGUGCAAACGUUGUUCGGAAUUACUGGGCUUGAAGCGCACGUAGGCGGCGUUGUAAGUGUCGGGUGAAAUCCCACGGCUCACCCGUGGAACUGCCCGGCAUACUGCGAUGCUAGAGUGUGGUAGGGGAGAGCGGAACUCCUGGUGGAGCGGUGAAAUGCGUAGAUAUCAGGAGGAACACCGGUGGCGAAGGCGGCUCUCUGGUCCACAACUGACGCUGAGGUGCGAAAGCUAGGGGAGCAAACGGGAUUAGAAACCCCCGUAGUCC